CCUACGGGGGGCAGCAGUGGGGAAUAUUGCGCAAUGGGCGAAAGCCUGACGCAGCGACGCCGCGUGAGGGAUGAAGGUCUUCGGAUCGUAAACCUCUGUCAGCAGGGAAGAACGGUCACUGUGCUAAUCAGCAGUGAAUUGACGGUACCUGCAAAGGAAGCACCGGCUAACUCCGUGCCAGCAGCCGCGGUAAUACGGAGGGUGCGAGCGUUAAUCGGAAUUACUGGGCGUAAAGCGCGCGUAGGCGGUAUGUCAAGUCAAGGGUGAAAUCCCCGCGCUCAACGUGGGAACUGCCUUUGAAACUGGCAAACUGGAGUGUGUGAGAGGAUGGUGGAAUUCCGGGUGUAGGAGUGAAAUCCGUAGAUAUCUGGAGGAACAUCAGUGGCGAAGGCGACUAGCUGGAACAUAACUGACGCUGAGGAGCGAAAGCGUGGGUAGCAAACAGGAUUAGAUACCCCUGUAGUC
rnacentral:rRNA from 1 species